AUUGAACGCUGGCGGCAUGCCUUACACAUGCAAGUCGAACGGCAGCACGGACUUCGGUCUGGUGGCGAGUGGCGAACGGGUGAGUAAUGUAUCGGAACGUACCUUUCAGUGGUGGAUAACGUAGCGAAAGUUACGUUAAUACCGCAUAUUCUGUGAGCAGGAAAGCAGGGGAUCGCAAGACCUUGCGCUGAUUGAGCGGCCGAUAUCAGAUUAGCUAGUUGGUGCGGUAAAGGCCUACCAAGGCUACGAUAUGUAGCGGGUCUGAGAGGAUGAUCCGCCACACUGGAACUGAGACACGGUCCAGACUCCUACGGGAGGCAGCAGUGGGGAAUUUUGGACAAUGGGGGCAACCCUGAUCCAGCCAUGCCGCGUGAGUGAAGAAGGCCUUCGGGUUGUAAAGCCCUUUCGGCCGGGAAGAAAUCGCAUAGGUUAAUACCCUGUGUGGAUGACGGUACCGGAAUAAGAAGCACCGGCUAACUACGUGCCAGCAGCCGCGGUAAUACGUAGGGUGCGAGCGUUAAUCGGAAUUACUGGGCGUAAAGCGUGCGCAGGCGGUUUCGUAAGACAGAGGUGAAAUCCCCGGGCUCAACCUGGGAACUGCCUUUGUGACUGCGAGGCUAGAGUACGGCAGAGGGGGGUGGAAUUCCACGUGUAGCAGUGAAAUGCGUAGAGAUGUGGAGGAACACCGAUGGCGAAGGCAGCCCCCUGGGCCGAUACUGACGCUCAUGCACGAAAGCGUGGGUAGCAAAC
rnacentral:rRNA from 1 species